rnacentral:rRNA from 1 species
CUACGGGCGGCAGCAGUGAGGAAUAUUGCACAAUGGGGGGAACCCUGAUGCAGCAACGCCGCGUGGAGGAUGACGCAUUUCGGUGUGUAAACUCCUUUUAUAUGUCAAGAAAAUGACGGUAGCAUAUGAAUAAGCACCGGCUAACUCCGUGCCAGCAGCCGCGGUAAUACGGAGGGUGCAAGCGUUACUCGGAAUCACUGGGCGUAAAGGACGCGUAGGCGGGUUGGAAAGUCAGGUGUGAAAUCCUACAGCUUAACUGGUGAACUGCACUUGAAACUUCUAAUCUAGAGUAUGGGAGGGGGAGAUGGAAUUAGUGGUGUAGGGGUAAAAUCCGUAGAUAUCACUAGGAAUACCUAAAGCGAAGGCGAUCUCCUGGAACAUUACUGACGCUAAGGCGUGAAAGCGUGGGGAGCAAACAGGAUUAGAUACCCGAGUAGUC